AGACACUCAAGUGCAAAGCCAGGGCUGUGUCUGUCCUCUUCCUUGGACGAGGCCCUGCCCUAACAUCAGCAGCACAGGCAGUUGUGCUGGUGUUUAUAAGGGAAGGGGCUGCUAGGACCGCUGGGGUUGGGCUCAGGAAGUGGGUUGUGGGCUCCAGCUGGAAAUGCUGGCUGGAAGGUGGUGGGUGAAUCGCAGUGGGUACGGGGGGAGGGAUAAACAGCAGGAGCUCAAACAAGGAGGCCAUGGGCCCUGGAGUACCCAGAGGGAGGACUUCGCUUACAUUGGCCUGGGAGGCUUCUUGAGGGCAAGGCCAGGUGUGUCUGCUUUGGCUCCCUGUCCCCAGAACCCACCAGGAACUAGAAGUUCCAAGGUUGGCUGCAAGGGGCUGGGAUCCGCCAGCGUCCGGGGAUCAGAAACACCCAUUUCAGGUCUCUGCAGAGGCGGUGCCUGAAAGGAGGUGAGGGAGAUGGUGGCUGGUUGUCAAAUGCGCAACUCCUGCCCUUGAGCCAGGCUGCAUGGCUUGCGAGGCAUUUCACCUCUGAGCUGUCACCGGGAAAGAGAUCCAACUUCCAGGGGGAAGAUACUGGAAGCCCGCCCUGGUUGCUCCAGCCCACAUGAUCUUUCUUCAUGAAUUUCUCAAAUUCAGAGCACCCACUGGCUACUCCCUGUGUGCAGAAGCCUUGUGACCUCUCUGGAAAUGUGUGUGGUGGUUCAUUUCCUAGCUUCAUAAACAGAGGCAAAUAACUUAACCUUGGUUCCUGCCCUGAAGGAGCUCAAAGUUAUACAGGCAGCUGGCUGACAGCAAGAGGCAGUGUUGAAAGGAGAUGGGAGUCGCCACCACAGAUUUAUUUAGUCACUCCUCAGGAAUAGCAGCACCUGGCCCCAUGCCUGUGGUUAGUCCGGGGACUUGUUCCUGCUGUGUAUAGAGCCUGACCUUGGCAGGAGGGCACAGAACAAGACAAGGCCCAUCUCAAGGUAAAGAACUGCCAUGUAGGUCGGCAGGGAGGCCAAAGCUCCUCCAGAUGACAGGUUGCUUUUGCUCUUUGCUUCUGACUCCUCUCUUACCCCGCCUGCUCUGGUCCAGUUCAACCCCCCCCUGCCCCAACCUCUAACCUCUUUCUAGUGUACACCACUUGUACCUCCGAGUUGCCAGAUUCUGCUGAUUCCCUGACAGGUUUCUUUUCUCCAGAUCCACAGCUUACAAAGCCUUUCCUUCAUCUGUGAAUUGUACUCAAGCCACUGUUGUGGCUCUGUCUUCUUUUCCCUAAAUUCAUUCUUUUUGUUUUGUUUUCCGUGUUACUAUAGGCUGAUAUCACUUGAGAGAGCUAGUGAGUGGCUUGGAGGCCAGUACCCCUAGGAACUGUGAGCUCCCUGAAGGCACAGUCUGUAGUACCGGGUCCAGCCCUUUAAGCAUGACAGGUACUUGAUAGAAGUUGGUGGACUGAGAAAUAAAGCCCUCCCCCUGGGGAACUGUGAGCUCCUGAGGGAAGGGGCCUUCCUCUGUCUUCUCUGCACUUAGCUCAGGACUAUGACUUUUUAAUUUGCCAGAAGAUGUAUAUUUCAAGUUUGAGGCCCAAAUUACCUUCCUAUGCUCUGGCUUACAUGUGUUCAGGCCCAGUUCUGGCUCUCCUAGUCAUCAGUAAGAAGUUACUGGAGGGUUCCAAGCAGGAAGUCACAUGAUUUACUCAACAUCUUAUGAGGUUAACAGAUGCUGUAUGGGAAAUGGGCUGCCAGGGGCAAGGGCAGAAGCAGAGAGGCAAGCGAGGAGAUUUCUGCAAUAAUCUAGGCAAGAAGUGAUGGUGGUUUAGACCACGGUGGUAAUGGUUGGAGUGGUGAUAAACAGAUUUGGAUCUGUUUUAAAGACAGAGCUGCCAGAAUUUCUUGGUGGAUUGGAAACAGAGGUAUAGGGGGGCGGUUCUAAGGGUUUUGGUCUAAACCACAGAAUUAGAAGGAGAGAGUGUCUGUUAAUGGAGAUGGGGAAGACUGAGGAACAGCUCUGAGGAAUAAAAUCUGGAGUGUUAAUUUUAGGUAUCUGUUAGAUAUCCAAGUGGAGCUGUUGGGUAGGCAGCUGGACAUAUGAGCCUAGAGUUUACAAAAGUCUGAGCUAAGAUAACCGUUAGCAGUCAUCAACAUGUAGAAGGGAUUUAAAGCUCUGAGAUCAAAUCGCGUCAUCUAGAAAACAAAUGUAAAUGGAGAAGUCUAAAGACUAUGCUGGGUUACUCCUAUGUUAACAAGUAGGAGAAAUAAGAACCAGUAAAGGUGGCUGAGUAGGAGCAGUGAUGAGGGAGGCGGAGAACCAAGAGGAACUGAUGCCUUACAAACAGGUGAAGAGGGGUGCAUG